rnacentral:rRNA from 1 species
UACGUAGGGUGCGAGCGUUGUCCGGAAUUAUUGGGCGUAAAGAGCUCGUAGGCGGUUUGUCGCGUCGACUGUGAAAACCCGAGGCUUAACCUCGGGCCUGCAGUCGAUACGGGCAGACUAGAGUUCGGUAGGGGAGACUGGAAUUCCUGGUGUAGCGGUGAAAUGCGCAGAUAUCAGGAGGAACACCGGUGGCGAAGGCGGGUCUCUGGGCCGUAACUGACGCUGAGGAGCGAAAGCAUGGGGAGCGAACAGG